UAUUGUCAGUGUGAGUGAAGGAGAGAGAACAGUGUCGUCUCACUGUGUGAGACUGUGAUGUCAUAGUCUUUGUCCCCUACGCCUGGCUCUGCUUUGACUGUAUCAAGCUAACCCAGACAGAGUGAGGACUAAGGGCAGAGAGAAAGGAACAGAAGGAGGAGAGGAGAUAGGGGGAGGUGAAAGGAUAGAGCACACUGAUCAUCCUUUGCAGAUAGGAGCAGUUAAGCAACAUACAAGGCUCAAAUACAUCCCCAGCUUCAGCUUUCACUGACCUGAGGAUCCCACAUCGACAUCAACUCUUCCAUGACCAAAGACUGACCAGCACCACAUUUGGAAAUAGAACACUUGUCAGAGCCAUAGUAAACCAUACUGCCGAUAACCCAUUUAUUUGUCACAUGCGCCGAAUACAACAAGUGUAGACCUUACCGUGAAAUGCUUACUUACAAGCCCUUAAUCAACAGUGCAGUUCAAGAAGAGUUAAGAAAAUAUUUAUCAAAUAAACUAAUGUAAAAAGUUUAUCAAAUUAACUAAUGUAAAAAGUAACACAAAAUAACAAUAACAAGGCUCUAUACAGGGGGUACUGGCACCAAUUCAGUGUGCAGGGGUACAGGUUAGUUGAGGUAAUUUGUACAUGUAGGUAGGGGUGAAGUGACUAUGCUUUGAUAAUAAACAGCGAGUAGUAGCAGUGUCCAACACUUCCCCUCCUUACUGUCACUAGAGAAGGACUUUCUAGAUCAGAUUAAUAUCUGAUAUCUCUAGUGCAGAAUUAAGAAUCACUGAAGCAUAAGCUACCCUAUAUAUUGUCCUCUGUCUAGGGGCUGAGCUAGGCUUCUCAUCACAGUCCAUCUUGGAACAGAUGGAGCUGAUGUAAAUAUUGACAUUGUGUGGCUGCCUGUCCUCAUCUGAUCUGUACUAAAAGAGAGAGAAGAGAAAGUUCUGGGAGCUCAUCCUUAACCCUUUGACUCCUCAACUGGCGGUGACUUCAGAGCUGCCCUAGGGGCAGUUGGAUGUGAGGCAGCUGUCCGCUGCAGUCGACAUACAACCAACUUUCUCUUCUUUUAUGCCCUCUGUUUGUUCUCUUUUUGUAGCUACACGUCUUUCUCUCUCGUCAAAGGGUUCAGAUAGGAGUGCUGGCAUAAACACAUUCCCGAGGGAAGACACACGCUCGCUCUCUCACUGGAGGCCUGAGUCCACGCUCGCUCUCUCACUGGAGGCCUGAGUCCACGCUCGCUCUCUCACUGGAGGCCUGAGUCAGAUUAUGCCACUGUGCAAGAAGUGUGCGUGUCAGUGACUCUGUCAUGUCUGUCUGUGAAUAAGUCCACCAUGGGCUGUGCCAUGUGUUCCCAGUUGAUUGACAUGUGGAGCGUGUCGGUGAGGAGAACCAGCCGCAGGGCCAUGGAACAGACUACCCUCCCCAAGGCGCUCCAGGGGGGCUACCACAGAGUCACCAGCCUCCACUACAUGUCCUCCUUCUCCGAUGCAGAGGACUGCUGCGAUGACAACAACAGUCACAACAGCACCACCGGCAGCUCCUUCACCAUGGACUGGCAAGAGACGGAUGACUGACACUUGGGCGGCAGGUAGCCUAGGGGUUAGAGAGGCGGGCCAGAAACCAGACGGUUGCUAGUUCAAAUGUGCCCUUGAGCAAAGCACUUAACCCCCAAAUCUGCUCCAUGGUUACUGCACUGUGGCUGACCCUGGCUUCCAACCCCUCAGGCAUGUAUGUGGGGGGUUGGGUUAAAAGCAAAAGACGAAUUUGUGUAAUCUGCGAAAAAAAUUGACAAUACGUAAACCCAACAUAAAUACGUUGGCUAAUUCUCUGUGUGUAUGUGAGUGAUUAAAAUGUCCAUUAUUGAUCAACAUUGUAUUCAUUCUACAGUAUUUAUUUCUCAUCUGAAUUAUUUUGUUUGUUUAUGUAUUUUUUUCUAUAGGGGGAAUAAGAAAGCCUUUCUCAGAACUCUCAAAACAUCCCACAAUGAUGUGGCCUUAUUGUCAAGACUCACACUCACCGUGUCAAUACAGACAGGAGUUUUUCUGACUACGGACCUGAGACCAGGAAAAUAUAGCCUAUAACCAGAGUUGUAGAGAAACAUGUAAUCAAUUACAAAGAACUGUAAUCAGUUACGUUACCAGCAGAACAUUGACAGGUAACUAGUAAGUCGUGGAUUACAUUUAGAAAGUUACCUUCCCAACCCUGCCUAUAACUAGCACCUGGACUUUUUCCAGGUCAGUUCAAGUGAAACACUCUGGGC